rnacentral:ncRNA from 1 species
CACGGACCAAGGAGUCUAACAUGUGCGCGAGCCGCGGGGCAGUACGAAACCCGUAAGGCGAAAUGAAGGUGAACGCCGGCGCGGUCCGGCGGAGGUUGGAUCCCGUCCCGUCGGGGCGGGCGCACUACCGGCCGAUCUUCUCCGCCCUGUCGGCGAGGUCGAGCGAGAGCGUGCAAGUCGGGACCCGAAAGAUGGUGAACUAUGCCUGAGGAGGUUGAAGCCAGAGGAAACUCUGGUGGAGGACCGUAGCGAUUCUGACGUGCAAAUCGAUCGUCAAAUUUGGGUAUAGGGGCGAAAGACUAAUCGAACCGUCUAGUAGCUGGUUCCCUUCGAAGUUUCCCUCAGGAUAGCUGGCGCUCUGUCGCAGUUUUAUCUGGUAAAGCGAAUGAUUAGAGGUCUUGGGGGCGAAACGCCCUCAACCUAUUCUCAAACUUUAAAUUGGUAAGAAGCCCGACUCGCUCGUUUGGAGCCGGGCAUGGAAUGCGAGUGCCAAGUGGGCCACUCUUGGUAAGCAGGACUGGCGAUGCGGGAUGAACCGAACGCCGGGUUAAGGCGCCCGACGCGACGCUCAUCAGAGCCCACAAAAGGUGUUGGUUGAUAUAGACAGCAGGACGGUGGCCAUGGAAGUUGGAAACCGCUAAGGAGUGUGUAACAACUCACCUGCCGAAUCAAUCAGCCCUGAAAAUGGAUG